GCCUCUAUAGCUCAGUGGUAGAGCACUGGUCUCGUAAACCUGGGAUCGUAAGUUCAAUCCUCACUUGAGGCA
rnacentral:tRNA from 1 species